AACCAGUGCCAUCGCAUGUCAAGACUCCUUCCGGUGCACAGCACUGCUCUCUCGAUGGAAGUUUGUCUGUUACAGCUUUGGCAGAUUGACUCCGCCCGCCGCCUUGGCCUCUUUCUGAGGUUCGAGGUUAGACUUGCUUUUGUUCUGAAAGCGCUGUCGUACAGGGCCAGGUGUGUUUUGUUUUGAGUUGAGCUCUGCUCUCACCAUUAGGGUGAUCUCAUAGCAGUUCUCUUAGUUACAUUUCACACAUUU
rfam:Coccidioides immitis RS genomic scaffold supercont3.3, whole genome shotgun sequence.